UAACAACCAUUUGUUUAGUGAAGGUUCAGACUUACAAUGGUGCUGAAAAAACCAACUUACAACUGGUCCUCAUACUUACGACUGUCACAGCGUCCCGUGAUGUGAUCACAAUUUGGGCACUUGGCAACCAGUUCACAUUUAUGACCAUUGCAGCAUCCUGUGGUCACAUGAUCACCAUUUUUUACCUUCCUGGCCAGCUUCUGGCAAGCAAAAUCAAUGGGGAACUGUGUGAUUUGCUUAACAACCAUGUGGCUCGCUUAAUGCCUGCA